UCUUAUAUCCAGAACAGAAACUACUGUUUUCAGAAAGAAGAAGAAAUCUAUAAAAACUCACGUAUCAUUUAUUACCAAACGCAUUAUUAGGAGACCAGUUGCCCACUUGUACACGCCAACCACGAUAAGGUUAAAAAUUGUGGCGAUACGAGGCACAUAUUUCUACUUUUCAAAAUUCCACUGAUCACGAUAUAUAUAUUUUCCUAGAUAUUUUUAUUUUACUUUUUAUUUGAUCGAAUAAGUAUUCUGUAUACAAACUUUUCAUUUGAAAGUUUCUUUUAUAUACGG
rnacentral:lncRNA from 1 species